AACAGGAUUAGAUACCCUGGUAGUCCACGCCGUAAACGAUGUCGACUUGGAGGUUGUUCCCUUGAGGAGUGGCUUCCGGAGCUAACGCGUUAAGUCGACCGCCUGGGGAGUACGGCCGCAAGGUUAAAACUCAAAUGAAUUGACGGGGGCCCGCACAAGCGGUGGAGCAUGUGGUUUAAUUCGAUGCAACGCGAAGAACCUUACCUACUCUUGACAUCCACGGAAUUCGGCAGAGAUGCCUUAGUGCCUUCGGGAACCGUGAGACAGGUGCUGCAUGGCUGUCGUCAGCUCGUGUUGUGAAAUGUUGGGUUAAGUCCCGCAACGAGCGCAACCCUUAUCCUUUGUUGCCAGCGAUUCGGUCGGGAACUCAAAGGAGACUGCCGGUGAUAAACCGGAGGAAGGUGGGGAUGACGUCAAGUCAUCAUGGCCCUUACGAGUAGGGCCACACACGUGCUACAAUGGCGCAUACAAAGAGAAGCGACCUCGCGAGAGCAAGCGGACCUCAUAAAGUGCGUCGUAGUCCGGAUCGGAGUCUGCAACUCGACUCCGUGAAGUCGGAAUCGCUAGUAAUCGUGGAUCAGAAUGCCACGGUGAAUACGUUCCCGGGCCCUGUACACACCGCCCGUCACACCAUGGGAGUGGGUUGCAAAAGAAGUAGGUAGCUUAACCUUCGGGAGGGCGCUUACCACUUUGUGAUUCAUGACUGGGGGUGAAGUCGUAACAAGGUA
rnacentral:rRNA from 1 species